rnacentral:rRNA from 1 species
GAUGAACGCUAGCUACAGGCUUAACACAUGCAAGUCGAGGGGAAACGGCAUUGAGUGCUUGCACUCUUUGGACGUCGACCGGCGCACGGGUGAGUAACGCGUAUCCAACCUUCCCAUUACUGUCGGAUAACCUGCCGAAAGGCAGACUAAUACCGCAUAGUCUUCGAUGACGGCAUCAGAUUUGAAGUAAAGAUUUAUCGGUAAUGGAUGGGGAUGCGUCUGAUUAGCUUGUUGGCGGGGUAACGGCCCACCAAGGCUACGAUCAGUAGGGGUUCUGAGAGGAAGGUCCCCCACAUUGGAACUGAGACACGGUCCAAACUCCUACGGGAGGCAGCAGUGAGGAAUAUUGGUCAAUGGACGGAAGUCUGAACCAGCCAAGUAGCGUGCAGGAUGACGGCCCUAUGGGUUGUAAACUGCUUUUGUAUGGGGAUAAAGUUAGGGACGUGUCCCUAUUUGCAGGUACCAUACGAAUAAGGACCGGCUAAUUCCGUG